GUGUGUGUGUGUGUGUGUGUGUGUGUGUGUGUGUGUGUGCAUCCGUGUGUGCACGUGAGUGUGGGCUACACAAAGAGAGCUAAGAAAAAUGCUCAAUAUUCUCUUACGAGAACGGCUUUUUCAGUGGGCUGGGGAGAGCUGGAGAAGAGUAAGAGGUUGAGGGAGCCAUGGUGGGGGCAGGAACAAAAGGUCAAGUGCCUAAGGACCCCAUGGACAAAGAACUUGGGUUUUGGAUUUUCUGUGAAGUGACUGAAUUUGCUACUCAUGCUGCAAAUGUGCCGGGGCUGUCAAAUCCAUCACCCAGCCUGUGUACUGCGAGAACACCAAAGAGCUGCCGAAUAAAACGAAUCACCUCUCCCUGAGACAUUUUCAGUUGUUAACAGCUUUCUGCCUCUGGCUCUACCAUCCUCGAAGUUAUCUUCCUGUCUUCCUCUGCCUGUUUCACAUCUGCUUCUAGAGUCAGAAGAAAAACUUCAAAUUCUCUUUCCAUUUGCUUUGGAGUCAGAGGGAAGCAUUUGGAUAGUGGAUCCCUGGAAGGAUCCUAAAAUGUGCAUGAGAAGGUCAUGUCCCAGCCAUUUGCAUAACUCAACAGAUAACUAGAACCAGCGGCUGUGCAUAGAGAGAAUUACUACUGGCCAGAAUCUACAGCUAGCAGCCCAAGGUCUCCACUUCGGAAACUCCCAUUCCCUCCCCCACCCCCUGCCUCUAUGAGGGUCCUCCCCCCCUCCUGUCUUAAGUAUGGGUUUUUUUUAAGGCAGUUAAACUAUGUUCUACAUUUUUGGAGAGAUGUAAAGAAUCUGUUGUCACUGAGCAGAGAACAACAAGGUGGGAGGUGUCAGUGAGGACAUGAGCUGGCCAGAUUUUCAGAAGAGGGCGUCUGGUUUCCUGGUGUACUGUACUAACCACUGCAUAGUGGACUUGAUGCUGAGAGAGAUGAAGAGCCUCACGGCCAAUAGAUUAUGCUGUGCAGUGUCUGUGUACCGAAGGGCAGACUGAGAAACUGCUGGGAAAACCACUAAAGAACCCACCCAGGAAUGUAUGCAUGGGACAAGUUGAAAGCAAACAGUGAGGCAGGGCAUUCAGCCUGUCGUCUCCUGCUCUCAUUCCCUUCCCUGCCUCUGGGAUUAACAACUGUACAGAGCACAAUUUAUAUCCGUUUGGAUAGUUUUUCAUUGUUAUGGCCACAAACACAACUUAAGGAAGAAUAUUGGUUAGAGUUAACUUUCAACUCAACAUAAUCCAAAAGAGAAUCAUACUGCGGAAUUAUCUACAUUGGAUUGGCCUGUGAGCAUGGCUGUGGAAGACAGUCUUGAUAGUUUUGGGUGGGCCCAGCACAUUGUGGGUGGCAUCAUUCCCUAAGCAGAGGAUCCUGAGCAGUAUAAGAAGAUGGAACAAACUGAGAAAAAGUGAGCAAGAAAGCAAGCAAAGAUAAAUCCAUUUACUCUCCUUCUGCUCUUGACUAUG